CUAGUCUAAGAGCAUUUGAUCGAAAAGUUCUCCAACCGUGCUUUUCGGUUGUAGACUUAUCCAAUGUUUUUUGGGGGACGACAGGGAAGAACACAACGAUAACGACAUUCUUCUCUCGAGUUCUCUAUCCUUACCCUUCUUCAUCACCUCUCAGCCCAAACAGCAGAGAAGGAAAUGCUGCUGCUAAAGCUGCGGUUCGCCUACCACUUCCUCUUUCAAACAACAGGCUGUCACACUUACAUCUGACAUGUCACUUCCCUCUUUUUGAUACACAGACGCUAUUAACACUUCUGAUAUUUCCUCUCUCUCUGCAGUACAGUCCACUGUCACUCCUCCUGAGAUCUCCCUAUUCAAGACCUCUGGUGUAUGUUCUGAACUGGUGUGUGGUAUGGUCCUGACAACAAACCCUGUUUGCCAAAAUAUUUCUUCCCUCAUUAUGCAAAGUUGGUCACGGUAAAGAUCACAUCUAAAAUGGGGAUUUGCUAUCUAUGAUCAAAGAACAUUGGUUUACGAAAGGUUUCUCCACCUAUGCUCAGAAAUACUGUCAGGCAUGUGUUAUCUGCAGCAAACACAAUGUUGGCAGGCCAGUGGCUGUAACCAGCCAGGCAGCACACCCACCGCCUGUACGAUCUUUUCAACAUCUGCUGAUGUACUUCAUAGAGCUAUCACCAUCAUAACGUAAAUCUCACUGCUGAGUGAUGGUCGCCAUGUGGUAAAAAUGGGUUGAAGUAUUUCCUGCCUCAAAACAAACUGUAAGUGUGGUCACCAAGCCACUGGUGGAGAUGUGGAACAAGAACAUGGCACACUCAAAACUAAGCUUGCUAAGUGCUGAGAAGACACAGGUCUCACAUGGACAAUGGUCCUGCCUCUGGUGCUGAUGUAAAUGAGGAUGAGAAAAGGAACCAGGUCUAAUAUUUCACCUUAUUAGAUUCUCUUUGGAUUGU